rnacentral:rRNA from 1 species
AGGGAUUGCCUAGUACGGCGAGUGAAGCGGCAACAGCUCAAAUUUGAAAGCUGGCCUUCGGGUCCGCAUUGUAAUUUGUAGAGGAUGCUUUGGGUGAAACGCCAGUCUAAGUUCCUUGGAACAGGACGUCAUAGAGGGUGAGAAUCCCGUAUGUGACUGGAAAUGUUAACCUAUGUAAAGCUCCUUCGACGAGUCGAGUUGUUUGGGAAUGCAGCUCUAAAUGGGAGGUAAAUUUCUUCUAAAGCUAAAUAUUGGCGAGAGACCGAUAGCGCACAAGUAGAGUGAUCGAAAGAUGAAAAGCACUUUGGAAAGAGAGUUAAAAAGCACGUGAAAUUGUUGAAAGGGAAGCGCUUGCAAUCAGACUUGUUUAAACUGUUCGGCCGGUCUUCUGACCGGUUUACUCAGUUUGGACAGGCCAGCAUCAGUUUCGGCGGCCGGAUAAAGGCUCUGGGAAUGUGGCCUUCACUUCGGUGAAGGUGUUAUAGCCCAGGGUGUAAUACGGCCAGCCGGGACUGAGGUCCGCGCUUCGGCUAGGAUGCUGGCGUAAUGGUUGUAAGCGAC